ensembl:misc_RNA Metazoa_SRP Metazoan signal recognition particle RNA
GCAGGGUGUGGUGGUGCACACCUGUAAUCCCAGCUACUUGGGAGGCUGAGGCAGGAGAAUUGCUUGAACCUGGGAGGUGGAGGUUGCAGUGAGCCGAGAUUGUGCCACUGCACUCCAGCCUGGGUGACAGAGUGAGACUCUGCCUCAA